rfam:Schistosoma haematobium scaffold1512_11, whole genome shotgun sequence.
AUUCAUCUGACGUGUCCCAUACAGGACGAAACGCGCGUCCUGCAU